rnacentral:rRNA from 1 species
CCUACGGGAUGCAGCAGUGGGGAAUAUUGCACAAUGGGCGCAAGCCUGAUACAGCCAUGCCGCGUGUAUGAAGAAGGCCUUCGGGUUGUAAAGUACUUUCAGCGGGGAGGAAGGUGUUGAGGUUAAUAACCUCAGCAAUUGACGUUACCCGCAGAAGAAGCACCGGCUAACUCCGUGCCAGCAGCCGCGGUAAUACGGAGGGUGCAAGCGUUAAUCGGAAUUACUGGGCGUAUAGCGCACGCAGGCGGUCUGUCAAGUCGGAUGUGAAAUCCCCGGGCUCAACCUGGGAACUGCAUUCGAAACCGGCAGGCUAGAGUCUUGUAGAGGGGGGUAGAAUUCCAGGAGUAGCGGUGAAAUGCGUAGAGAUCUGGAGGAAUACCGGUGGCGAAGGCGGCCCCCUGGACAAAGACAGACGCUCAGGUGCGAAAGCGUGGGGAGCAAACAGGAUUAGAUACCCCCGUAGUC